AUUGAACGCUGGCGGCAGGCCUAACACAUGCAAGUCGCGCGGAGCGGCGGACGGGUGAGUAAUGCCUAGGAAUCUGCCUGGGAGUGGGGGAUAACGUCCGGAUACGGGCGCUAAUACCGCAUACUAUCAGAUGAGCCUAGGCCGGCUUAGCUAGGUGGUGGGGUAAAGGCCUACCAAGGCGACGAUCCGUAACUGGUCUGCGAGGAUGAUCAGGCACACUGGACCUGAGACACGGUGCAGACUCCUAUGGGAGGCAGCAGUGGUGAAGAUUGGACAAUGGGCGGAAGCCUGCACCAGCCGUGCCGCGGGUGUGAAGAGGUUCUGCGGAUUGUAAAGCACUUGAAGUUGGGCGGCGUUACCAACAGAAUAAGCCCCGGGUGACUUCGUGCAAGCAGCCGCGGUAAUUC
rnacentral:rRNA from 1 species